rnacentral:tRNA from 1 species
GGCCUCGUAGCUAAGUUGGCUAAAGCGUGUGCUGUACUAAAGCCUUCUCCUUGCUGGUGAGGGUUCGAAUCUCACCGAGGCCA